UUCCAAAGUGUUGAGUACACAUUGUUUGCCUUAAUUAACCUUGUGAAAUUUGAACUUUGGUAAAUCAUUUAGCUUUUGGAAAUGACGGCCAAAAUAAUUUGUUUUGGUUAUAUUGUCAAAAGCAAACAAAA